rnacentral:rRNA from 1 species
AGUGAACGCUGGCGGUAGGCCUAACACAUGCAAGUCGAACGGCAGCACAGGAGAGCUUGCUCUCUGGGUGGCGAGUGGCGGACGGGUGAGGAAUACAUCGGAAUCUACUCUGUCGUGGGGGAUAACGUAGGGAAACUUACGCUAAUACCGCAUACGACCUACGGGUGAAAGCAGGGGACCUUCGGGCCCUGCGCGAUUGAAUGAGCCGAUGUCGGAUUAGCUAGUUGGCGGGGUAAAGGCCCACCAAGGCGACGAUCCGUAGCUGGUCUGAGAGGAUGAGCGGCAACACUGGAACUGAGACACGGUCCAGACUCCUACGGGAGGCAGCAGUGGGGAAUAUUGGACAAUGGGCGCAAGCCUGAUCCAGCCAUACCGCGUGGGUGAAGAAGGCCUUCGGGUUGUAAAGCCCUUUUGUUGGGAAAGAAAUCCAGCUGGCUAAUACCCGGUUGGGAUGACGGUACCCAAAGAAUAAGCACCGGCUAACUUCGUGCCAGCCGCCGCAGUAA